rnacentral:rRNA from 1 species
CUGAACCAGCCAAGUAGCGUGAAGGAUGAAGGUCCUACGGAUUGUAAACUCUUUUAUACGGGAAUAAAGUAUCCUACGUGUAGGAUUUUGUAUGUACCGUAUGAAUAAGCAUCGGCUAACUCCGUGCCAGCAGCCGCGGUAAUACGGAGGAUGCGAGCGUUAUCCGGAUUUAUUGGGUUUAAAGGGAGCGCAGACGGGAGAUUAAGUCAGUUGUGAAAGUUUGCGG